rnacentral:rRNA from 1 species
UACAGAGGGUGCGAGCGUUGUCCGGAAUCACUGGGCGUAAAGGGCGCGUAGGCGGCCAACUAAGUCAUACGUGAAAUCCCUCAGCUUAACUGGGGAACUGCGUGUGAUACUGGAUGGCUUGGAUGUGGGAGAGGGAUGCGGAAUUCCAGGUGUAGCGGUGAAAUGCGUAGAUAUCUGGAGGAACACCGGUGGCGGAGGCGGCAUCCUGGACCAACACUGACACUGAGGAGCGAAAGCCAGGGGAGCAAACGGG